CACAGAGCAACACUAGAUGAAAUCUCUUUUCUCGUGCAAUGACGACUGAGUGCGGAUAGUUGUAGCAAAAUGACUUCUAAAGUAUCGAAGAACAUUACGUACGAGUGCGUCAAUGAGGUGUUGAAGGGUGAACCAUCUUCGCUUCCUGCAAACGGUGUAGCUCGAUAUUAGUCUGAAAAGCUGGGAUCCACAAAUGGACAAAUUUCUCCGCUAGGCAAACAUUCCACGAAAAACAUGUGGCAUCGCUGCUUAUGGGUACUGACAUCAGGAUGUCGCCUUGCUUUGGAGGGACGGAGCUGCGCUCCGCUUCUUAAAACAAUCGAGGACAUUUGGUACCGGAGGUCAAAGUACAUUCUACGUCUGAAGAUGUAAGUUUAUGUUUUUGAUGAUCAGCAGCAGCAGCUUUUGUCAUGGAGCAAAAUCCAUAUUCCAUACAUCAUAAAUGAUGCCAUCGGUCUUAAGAAAAUUAACAAGAACAACAUGCUGGUAAAUAAACCAGCUAAGAAGUGUGAUGUCUUCCUAUCAUCCAAAUCACUGGUCAAACAUAUUUGCCGUUGGACACGUCCAGAUGACUCCAGUCGAGCUGGUUCUGAAUGUACAUCUGUCCACCAGUUUCGCUACUGAAAAGGCACUGGCAGAACGUUUGCUCGCUGCACAUUAAAUCCGCAAUGGGAAGUUCUCAGCGGC